AGAGAGAACAGUCUAUGGGCUUGGGUGGCAAGAAAUAGACUUUAUCGAAAGUGUGAUCUACUAGGCUAUCUGGACCACCCUCUGUAGCGCCAUGCAAACAAGGCCGGUGUUGUUGGUCUAACAUUUUGAGGAUGUGAGAGCCCACGCAAAACCUUGUCAACUUCAUGAGGGGGGAAGAGGGGCUGGCCAUGCCUUCUUCACGACUGUUCGCGUGUGAGUGGACAAUUUUAAGUCAUUAGUGAUUUGGACAAAGAAGAACUUGAUGUUCUCGACCCGCUGCACUGCAGAACCGUCGAUGUGUCCUGCCACCACACUGCCAGGUCACUGACCCUCUCCCUGUAGGCUGUCUCAUCGUCCCUGUAGGCUGUCCCAUCGUCCCUGUAGGCUGUCUCAUCGUCCCUGUAGGCUGUCCCAUCGUCCCUGUAGGCUGUCCCAUCGUCCCUGUAGGCUGUCCCAUCGUCCCUGUAGGCUGUCUCAUUGUCCCUGUAGACUGUCCCAUCGUCCCUGUAGGCUGUCCCAUCGUCCCUGUAGGCUGUCUCAUCGUCCCUGUAGGCUGUCCCAUCGUCCCUGAAGGCUGUCUCAUCGUCCCUGAAGGCUGUCUCAUCGUCCCUGAAGGCUGUCCCAUCGUCCCUGAAGGCUGUCCCAUCGUCCCAUUAGGCUGUCCCAUCCUCCCUGUAGGCUGUCCCAUCGGCCCUGUAGGCUGUCUCAUCGUCCCUGUAGGUUGUCUUGUCCUCUCUGUAGCCUGUCUCAUCGUCCCGGUAGGCUGUCCCAUCGUCCCUGUAGCCUGUCUCAUCGUCCCUGUAGCCUGUCUCAUCGUCCCGGUAGGCUGUCCCAUCCUCCCUGUAGCCUGUCUCAUCUUCCCUGUAGACUGUCCCAUCGUCCCUGUAGGCUGUCUCAUCCUCCCUGUACUCUGUCUCAUCGUCUCUGUAGGCUGUCUCAUCCUGCCUGUAGGCUGUCUCAUCCUGCCUGUAGCCUGUCUCAUCGUCUCUGUAGGCUGUCUCAUCGUCCCUGUAGGCUGUCUCAUCUUCCCUGUAGGCUGUCCCAUCCUCCCUGUAGGCUGUCUCAUCUUCCCUGUAGGCUGUCUCAUCUUCCCUGUAGGCUGUCCCAUCCUCCCUGUAGCCUGUCUCAUCGUCCCUGUAGCCUGUCUCAUCGUCCAGGGGGAAGGUAAGGAAAGGUAAGCUCUCUUUCCACACCAGCAGCCGGGGCCGUAAUGUAGACCUAAAGCAGGUUCUGAAUAGGGAAAUAGAAUGUGAUCUGUACUCUAUAUCACUAUACAGUCCUAGUUGCAAGCAUUCUAUGUUCUCUGACUGGGACACAGCCCUUAUUUCCUUCAUCACCGUGGUGACAGCUGGUUUCCAGAGCAAUCUUUCUUUUGUCAUGUCAAGCUCAUCCUCCUAUCUUUUUUUUUUUGUUUCCUCCUAGAGGCCUCAUCUCUCUCUCUCUCUCUCCUGCCCAUUCUUCCCCUCUCUCUCUGUCUCUCUCUCCUGCCCAUUCUUCCCCUCUCUCUCUGUCUCUCUCUCUCCUGCCCAUUCUUCCCCUCUCUCUGUGUCUCUCUCUCUCCUGCCCAUUCUUCCCCUCUCUCUCUGUCUCUCUCUCGACCCCAUCUUUCCCUUUUCCUCGCCCCCUCGCCCCCUCUCUUCCCCCUUUCUCCCUCCCAUCUCCCUCCCCCAC
rnacentral:lncRNA from 1 species